AGCGAACGCUGGCGGCAGGCCUAACACAUGCAAGUCGAGCGGCCGUAGCAAUACGGCAGCGGCAGACGGGAGAGUAACACGUGGGAACGCGCCCUUCGGUUCGGGAUAACUCAGGGAAACUUGGGCUAAUACCGGAUACGCCCUUACGGGGAAAGAUUUAUUGCCGAAGGAACGGCCCGCGUCCGAUUAGCUUGUUGGUGAGGUAACGGCUCACCAAGGCGACGAUCGGUAGCUGGUCUGAGAGGAUGACCAGCCUCACUGGGACUGAGACACGGCCCAGACUCCUACGGGAGGCAGCAGUGGGGAAUAUUGGACAAUGGGCGCAAGCCUGAUCCAGCCAUGCCGCGUGGGUGAUGAAGGCCCUAGGGUUGUAAAGCCCUUUCAGCGGGGAAGAUAAUGACGGUACCCGCAGAAGAAGCCCCGGCUAACUUCGUGCCAGCAGCCGCCGUAA
rnacentral:rRNA from 1 species